AGAAACAUCGAGGCUUGGGUGUUACCAGUCAGCUUCAGUUCUCACAGUCAGAUGUCCACAGGCUUCACUCACUUCCGACUUCUCCUUACCCUGCUAUGCUUGCUGUCACUGACCAAAAGCCUUUAUGUUUUACAAUGUCUUCCCGAACCUUCUCUUCCUCUUUCUUGCCCUUUUUGGACAGUCUUCUGAAGUUCCUCAGUGCCUUUUUCUUUUAUGAACUCAUUUCGUGGAAACAUUGGACCACCCAGAGAGAAAAACAGCCACUCGAGGGAGAAGCCCGGGUGUCAAGGAACUGAUGUUGGCUUGAGCCAACAGCCAUCGAGGAUCAGCCAACAGCCAUACGAGUGAGUCUGAGUGAGAAAGGUGGUCCUCCAGGUGAACCUGGAGAUAACUGCAGAUCCAGCUGACAUGCUGACUUCAGCCUCGUACCGACAGACCCUGGACCCGGCUGAGCCAGGCCUGCUCAAUGACCCACAAGGAAUGAGAUUAAAAAAGGUUUAAAUGCCUAA